CCAUAGCCUAUCGAUUUAUAUUCAACAUAGCUUUUCAUUUAUCAAGAAGAGCACCUAAGUCUACCAAGUCAAGAGAUGGCAUUCAACAAUAUAAGGCACUUCACAUUCCAUCAUCUUCAUUCAUAAGUGUUAAGAGAGAACAUACUUUUAAUCACAAUACAAUAAUACUUUAUUCAAGAUCACCUUGGGAUCACAUGAACACAUUUAUAUUCACAACAUGAUUACCUUUACUUCAUUAGAUUCUCAUUCAAAUCUUUUACAUCAUAUUCACAUAUAUGAUAUCAUGUUAACGUGAUUACCUUUACUUCAUUAGAUUCUCAUUCAAAUCCUUUACAUCACAUUCACAUAUAUGAUAUCAUGUCAACACUUCAAUUCCUCAUAUAAUGCCUUCAAGGCCAUAAUCAUAAUACAUUCAAUAAGUAAACACCUCCACCAUAAGUGGAUCACACAUCAAUCUAUCACAAUUCUAUAUCAAUUCUACAUUAACAAUGAAGUUAGGACAACCUACCCUUUUCCAAAGCCAC
rnacentral:lncRNA from 1 species